UUUAUUUGAAUCGUUGUUUUCUAAUGGAAAGUUAGGUUGGGUACCACCCAAAAUCUAACGAAUGCCAUCCGAAAUUCUAAGCUAUUAUCUUCCAGUAAUUUAUCAAUUUUCUGAAAUUGAUUUUCAAUUUAAUAAAACCCAAGUUUUCCAUUUCUCCAAGAUUGCGGGACAAGAUAUCGAGUUACCCAUCUAAAGAAAUGGAAUAAUUUCGACGAAACCAGAAGCACAACACGCGAUGCUGUGCCGAUGAUAAGUGGAAAGCUGGACGAUGCUGCCGAUGCAACACGAUGCUGUUGCACCUCAACUCGAAUUAUUACUUUUAUCUUUUGUGUCAUUUUUUAGGCAGUCAUCCAACGUACAAAGACUGGACGCCGACGAUGGUGCAAACUCGCGCACAAGGAUGAUGACGAACCAGUAACCAGCAGUACAUUGUUACCCAACGUACAUACCAGAGAUACAAAAUUUCCCGACGUAAAAGCUCUAUAGGGAUUCAACCUGUCGAUCGAAGCUGCUACAUUAAUUGGAUUGGUUUUUGAUGCCUUUGGUUACCUGCCAAAGCAGACUAGCCUGAUGAUACACACCAGCAACAAACAAAAGCGAAAGAUAAAGCUCCAGCCCUCCGCUCUGAUGAUGGAAGCCCAGUUCUGGUCCAAAGAUGCAGUCCCAGUCUGAUAACGCAGUCUUGUUCCGAAGAUGCCCACUCGAUGCAAAGUCCAACGAUGACGAAGGUGCAAAACCCUGCAACCAUGGUACAAAUACCGACGACGACUGCAAAGACUGACAACGACGAAGGUGCAACGUAUCAUCAUAAGGAUGCAAGCCGAAGAGCAUGCUGAAUCCGAUGACGAUGAUAGUAACAAUAGUAUGAUGCUAAAAAGAGCUCAGUUUAGUAAAGAUUGCAUUACUGUGACGUCUCAAUUGGAAAUCUUCAAAGGAGAACCCCUCAAAAUAUGCUAUCUACAGGAGAAUUUCUUUGUUUUGUUCAUCUGCAGGUUCAUAUAGAGUUAUGUGACAGCUGCAGUGCAAGAGUCCCGUUACUUCGACGUGUCAAAAGAACCAAAAGAAUGAUGCACGAUACAGGCAAGCUCCAUCCCGAUGAUGAAUGAUGGAAUACAAGCACGAAAAGCUAACGGAACAAGGAGAUCGAGGAGCAAGAGCAGCUCAAACCGGGGCAGCAAGAUUCACACAGACUAAGUUCCGCACCGCUGGUUAGGGUCAUACCGUAAGGCGAUGACGAAGAUGCAAAUAACCUGAAGUAUAGUUCAACGCGUAGCUCAAAUCCCAUGCCGAUGACGAAAGGUCUGGCAAUGAUGAAAUCCGGUGACGAUGCUGCCUGCAAGGUCUGGCGACAGAGGAUGCAUGGGCUGCCGACACUGAACCAAAUACCGAUGCCUACAAUGAACCAGCGUCCAAUGAAGAGGAACCAGAUCCAAACGAUGAUGCUGUCCCAACACUCCAUCAGCCAAUCCACAAAUCCAAUGCCGACGAAGACAUGUGCCAAAAUUCAAUGCCGACGAAGCCAGAUGGCGUUGCUAAGUCCGAUGACGAUGGCGACACAAUCUGGUGAUGUAUCUUCGGUGCCACAGUUCAAAUCAAAGUUCAAGCAAAGGUUCAUAGCACUGGGUCAGAUACCAGCCAAAUCAGUUGAGCAUACAAGUUAACAUUGCAGGCAAGAGGACGAUGAUUCAAGAUUCAUCAUAACGGAAAAUGUCACUCAACAUACAAGUUGCUCGAAGUUAACUAUUACUUCUAUUUUACUUGCUUUUUCAGGGUUUCUUUUGUGUUCUAAAUUAGAUGAUAGUUUUAGUUUUUUUUCCCCAAUUUUCAUUAAUCUACUCCUGCUUUGGAAUCA